rnacentral:lncRNA from 1 species
UCGUUUCAUCAAGAAGUAUGAUUUUUGUUUUUGAAUCACUUGAUUUUGUUGAGUAUUGAAGAAGUUAUGAACGUUUAAAAUUUGCCUAGUUUCCGGCGAGUUUUCAAGUUUUCACUCGGACCAGUCAACUUUGAGGCUAUUUUUCAACCAUCUUUGGCUACCAUUGGGCUUCGAAAUAGGUAUAAUCUUAUUCUACACUUUUCUAUCUUCAUUUUGAUAUAUUAUGGGUCAAAUUUGGUUAAGAAACGAUUGAGUUACGAAGCUUUGAAAAUUGCCCAAACUUCCGGCCAAGAGCUCUAGGACACCUAACGGAGUUUUUAACGGAAUGACCAAAAUGAUGGAUGGUGGACAAUCUCAGGGACCAGUUUUAUCGAUUUGGAAUCUCAGGAACCAAAGUGAUGAGUUAUGCAAAUCUCAUGGACCAUUUUGACGAUUUACCCUUUUUAUGAUAGACUACACCACUCAACGCCUUGAUUUAGUUGGUGAACUCUUGUCCAAACCUGUAAAAUCCUUGCAUAAUGACAAAAAUGACAUUGUAGAUCAAUGUUCUACGGAAAGUAACCAAAACUAUUAGGUAUGAAUAUGUGUACAAUUAGUUUACUAUAUUGUCCAUGUGUGAUGAACAUGUCAUUAAUAUUUAAUAGAAUAUCAUCG